GACGGAGGGGGCAAGCGUUAUCCGGAAUUAUUGGGCGUAAAGGGUACGUAGGCGGCUGGUCAAGUCUGGGGUCAAAGGCCACAGCUUAACUGUGGGAAGGCCCUGGAAACUGACCGGCUAGAGUGAGGUAGGGGUUGCGGGAAUUCCGGGUGUAGCGGUGAAAUGCGUAGAGAUCGGGAAGAACACCUGAGGCGGAAGCGCGCAACUGGGCCUCAACUGACGCUGAGGUACGAAAGCUAGGGGAGCGAAGGGG
rnacentral:rRNA from 1 species